UGGGGAAUAUUGCGCAAUGGGCGAAAGCCUGACGCAGCAACGCCGCGUGAGGGAUGAAGUACGUCGAGAUGUAAACCUCUUUCAGCAGGGACGAAGCGAAAGUGACGGUACCUGCAGAAGAAGCACCGGCUAACUACGUGCCAGCAGCCGCGGUAAUACGUAGGGUGCAAGCGUUGUCCGGAUUUAUUGGGCGUAAAGGGCUCGUAGGCGGUCUGUCACGUCGGAUGUGAAAACUCGGAGCUCAACUCCGGGCCUGCAUUCGAUACGGGCAGACUAGAGUUCGGUAGGGGAGACUGGAACUCCUGGUGUAGCGGUGGAAUGCGCAGAUAUCAGGAAGAACACCGAUGGCGAAGGCAGGUCUCUGGGCCGAUACUGACGCUGAGGAGCGAAAGCGUGGGGAGCGAACA
rnacentral:rRNA from 1 species